UACGAAGGGGGCUAGCGUUGCUCGGAAUCACUGGGCGUAAAGGGUGCGUAGGCGGGUCUUUAAGUCAGGGGUGAAAUCCUGGAGCUCAACUCCAGAACUGCCUUUGAUACUGAAGAUCUUGAGUUCGGGAGAGGUGAGUGGAACUGCGAGUGUAGAGGUGAAAUUCGUAGAUAUUGGGAAGAACACCGGUGGCGAAGGCGGCGCUCUGGACCAAGACUGACGCUGAGGCGCGAAAGCGUGGGGAGCAAACAGG
rnacentral:rRNA from 1 species